UAUUAUUUUUGAUGUUAAUUAUUUAACCUGAGUAGUAAUAGAUAUGGUCUUGAAACUUAAAGAAUUUGGCAGUAUUUUAUUCUGUUUAGAGGAACCUGUUCUUUUAUCGAUAAUCCUCGUUGGACCUUACUUAAUUUAUUGAUUUGUAUACCGCCGUUGUAUUGAGAAUCUUUGUAGUGUUUUUAAUUUUCUGGAUUUUAUUUUAAAUUAUUUCAGGUCAAGGUGCAAUUUAUGGUUAAGUAGAAAUGGGUUACGUUUAUAUGUAUUUUUGGAUUAUUAAAUGAAAUUUUAAUGUGAAAUUGGAUUUGAAUGUAAUUAUUAUUUUAGAUUGUAAUAAUGAUUUAGUUUCUAGAGUGUGUACACAUCGCCCGUCACUCUCGUUAUUUAUUCGAG
rnacentral:rRNA from 1 species